rnacentral:rRNA from 1 species
GAUCAUGGCUCAGAGCGAACGCUGGCGGCAGGCUUAACACAUGCAAGUCGAGCGCCCCCGCAAGGGGAGCGGCAGACGGGUGAGUAACGCGUGGGAACGUACCUUUUGGUUCGGAACAACACAGGGAAACUUGUGCUAAUACCGGAUAAGCCCUUACGGGGAAAGAUUUAUCGCCGAAAGAUCGGCCCGCGUCUGAUUAGCUUGUUGGUGAGGUAACGGCUCACCAAGGCGACGAUCAGUAGCUGGU